UCCUACGGGAGGCAGCAGUGGGGAAUAUUGGACAAUGGGGGCAACCCUGAUCCAGCCAUGCCGCGUGUGUGAAGAAGGCCCUCGGGUUGUAAAGCACUUUCAGCGAGGAAGAACGCCUAGCGGUUAAUACCCGCUAGGAAAGACAUCACUCGCAGAAGAAGCACCGGCUAACUCCGUGCCAGCAGCCGCGGUAAUGCGGAGGGUGCAAGCGUUAAUCGGAAUUACUGGGCGUAAAGCGCGCGUAGGUGGCUUGAUAAGCCGGUUGUGAAAGCCCCGGGCUCAACCUGGGAACGGCAUCCGGAACUGUCAAGCUAGAGUGCAGGAGAGGAAGGUAGAAUUCCCGGUGUAGCGGUGAAAUGCGUAGAGAUCGGGAGGAAUACCAGUGGCGAAGGCGGCCUUCUGGACUGACACUGACACUGAGGUGCGAAAGCGUGGGUAGCAAACAGGAUUAGAUACCCUGGUAGUCCACGCCGUAAACGAUGUCGACCAGCCGUUGGGUGCCUAGCGCACUUUGUGGCGAAGUUAACGCGAUAAGUCGACCGCCUGGGGAGUACGGCCGCAAGGUUAAAACUCAAAUGAAUUGACGG
rnacentral:rRNA from 1 species